UACGGAGGAGGCAAGUGUUAUCCGGAAUUACUGGGCGUAAAGCGUCCGUAGGUGGUUGACCAAGUCUGCUGUCAAAGGGUGGGGCUUAACCUCAUAAAGGCAGUGGAAACUGGCGAGCUAGAGUGCGGUAGGGGUAGGGGGAAUUCCCAGUGUAGCGGUGAAAUGCGUAGAGAUUGGGAAGAACAUCGGUGGCGAAAGCGCCCUGCUGGGCCUGCACUGACACUGAGGGACGAAAGCUAGGGGAGCGAAAGGG
rnacentral:rRNA from 1 species